CGCACACAUGCAAACCAGAGUCAUGGGUACAAAUUCAAUACUGAAAUACAGGUACUGCCUGAUAGCAGGAUAACCAUUACCUGAUAACAGGGUAACUACGGCCUGAUAGCAGGCUAACUAUUGCCUGAUAGCAGGCUAACUACUGCCCAAUAGCAGGCUAACAAUGAAAAUCUGUACCUUAAGUUAGACCUCACUUUAACCAUAGUGCAGCUUCAUUAUCGAGGUACAUCGAUGUCUGUGGGUAACCGUUGAGAUAGAGGUACAUAUGUCUGAACAUGUUCAUGGUAAUAAAUAUCCUUAGUAAUCCAUAAAUGUUUAUUAUAACCAUUAAAGUACAUAAUAUACCAAAAGUAUCCACAACCACCACUAAGCUUCACUGUUAAAAUUUUGGUGAAAUUUCUUCUCAAAAAUAAAGUGAAAUUAUAUUAAAGAUGCCACAUAUGAAAUUAGUUUGGUGCAUUUGGGCGUCCCCAUGGUAGCCCCGGUUUAGAACUCGACCAGCAUCCAUGGCCCCACUUUUGGAUACAACUGUCAUGACCAGCAAGAAUCU